rnacentral:tRNA from 1 species
CAAAGAAUAGUUUAGUUUAGAAUCCUAGCUUUGGGAGUUAGGGGUGAGAGUUAGAAUCUCUUUUCUUUGA